rnacentral:rRNA from 1 species
AUUGAACGCUGGCGGCAUGCUUUACACAUGCAAGUCGAACGGUAACAGGGUGCUUGCACUGCUGACGAGUGGCGAACGGGUGAGUAAUGCGUCGGAACGUGCCGAGUAGUGGGGGAUAACGCAGCGAAAGUUGUGCUAAUACCGCAUACGUACUGAGGUAGAAAGUGGGGGACCUUCGGGCCUCACGCUAUUCGAGCGGCCGACGUCUGAUUAGCUAGUAGGGGCGGUAAAGGCUCACCUAGGCGACGAUCAGUAGCGGGGCUGAGAGGAUGGUCGGCCACAAUGGGACUGAGACACGGCCCAGACUCCUACGGGAUGAAGCAGUGGGGAAUUUUGGACAAUGGGCGAAAGCCUGAUCCAGCCAUGCCGCGUGUCUGAAGAAGGCCUUCGGGUUGUAAAGGACUUUUGUCAGGGAGGAAAUCCCUAGUGCUAAUAACACUGGGGGAUGACAGUACCUGAAGAAUAAGCACCGGCUAACUACGUGCCAGCCGCCGCGGUAAUAC